ACCUGAUGAACACUUAGAUGACGAGUCUGAUUUGGAUUUUCCAAUGCGGAUAAACACUUACCUUUCCAUUCAUGCAACACUGAAU
rfam:Colletotrichum orbiculare MAFF 240422 contig06050, whole genome shotgun sequence.